AAAAGAAUGGGGGACCAAAGCACAGAGAAACAGGAUAUAAUGGAGAAAGGUAACCUGUCUGGAAGAAUCAGGGUGGCCAGACAGCCAUCAGUUCCAGAAACAUAAUCACAGCUGCCUCUUACUGUUCAGAAUAUCUGACGCCUGACCAGCCUUACCAGCGAAGGCUACAGGGGACCAGCAUGGAAUGGAAGAGAUUGGAAGAACAUUAAGGUUGCAUCUCCUCCCCCCAAACCCAUCACUAUUCACCACCCAGCUCCCAAGAUGCACUGCUGCACCCUCUCAAGAAUGUGAUAAGUCUCAUCUCCAAAACCCAAGACUGUCUUUUUCUCCCUCGUCUAAAUCGGGUCUGAACUCAAUAGUCUGAUCAUCUCUUUAAUAAAUGCCUGUGCUGAUGUCCUUCUUUCUUUUUC
ensembl:lncRNA